GUUUUCCCUUAUACCAACCAGACGAAUUUCAGUCGGCUCAGAAGCUAGAAUUUCAGUCGGCUCAACCAUUGGUGUAUUGGGUGGAGAACCAUUUGUAGUUAGAUUUUUUUUUUUUUUUUUGUUUUUUUUUUUUGGUUUUCUAGAAAAGCCCGGUUUGAGAGAGAGUGCAGUGGGUAGAAAAAAAUGAAGGGUUAUCCUUCCCGCAGUCGUCCUCAGCAUCGCCCCUACGCCGGCCCCUAAGAACUCAGCUAUCUUCUCCAACUACUGGCACCUCGCCACCAAACGUACAUCGGCUCCUAAGAACUUGGCUCGCUUCGCCAACCACCGGAAAGGUAUCAACUCUCUUCCUCCCAACAGCUUCCCCCGCCGUCACACCGACAUUGGUCCCUAACAACUGGGCUCUCUUCCUCAACCGUCGACACCUCGCACUCGUAGACUUGCUCUUAAGAACUCGACUCUCUUUGCCAACUGCCAACACCAAAUUGCAAUUUUUGUUAUUGUCACUAGAAAUUGUCGAAAAUUUCAAUUUUUUCCUUCAUGUAUUUGAGUUAAAGUUUUAGAAUUUGAACAUAUUUUUAAUUAUUUAUUUUUUUCUUUUUGCAUAAUUUGACAUGCAUAUUUUCUGCUUGAAAUUGUAGUUUGAAUUAAGGUUUCAAUCUUUUGCUACCUAAUUAUCUGCAAAGGUGAGUUCAUUAUUUCAAUUUUUUUAGGUUCUAGUGCUCAAAUAAGUU
rnacentral:lncRNA from 1 species